UUAGAAUUUGACUAAUCAGAAGGAAAGGAACUAAAAUUUCUUUGUUCUGAUUGGUCAAAUUUCAAUCUUUAAUCUUCAAUCUCGAUCUUCAAUAUGUAGUCUGAUACGGGCUUAAGGUCAGUUUCAGAUUAUGCAUUGAGAGAACUGUGAUUUUGAUAAGAAUACACUUAAUCGAUGCCUUUUUUGCAUAAAAACAAAGGUUUGAAAAGUAAAUAUCAUCGUUUGAUAGUGUAAAAAGAGUUAUUAAGCGUCAAAGAUGCCACUUUUGAAGGUAAUCUAAUCGAACCCUGAUCGUAUCAUUUACUUGACGAACCAGACUACCGGAUACCGGAUUCCAGAUCCAGACUCGAGACCCGAACCCGAGACCGAGAUGCUAUGCCUGUAUUACCAUUACCUCUCUAAUCAUGCGACAAGAAUGCAGGAAACCGCGUGAAUGAUAUUUUCCCGCGGAUGAUUAUCCUCGCAUAAUUAAUGAGCGAUAUCUUGUGAGCACAUUGAAAUAUAUGGCUAGCUGUAGCCUGAAAUAUUUAAAUAUUUAUUAUUAGUCGCACAUUGUGAUUCGUCUAUUAGAUAGGAAUCGAGGUGAUGGAGAAUAAGAGUCAUAAUUCAUCAUCUCAUCGCACAAUUUAUUUGCGAUAAAUAGGUAUAAGUGGUAAUUAGAUUUUUGAGAGAGAGAGGGAGAGAGAGAGAAAGAUAAUGCAUGCUUUAAAAUAUAAAUGUAUUUCGUUACAUAAUUAAACUUUCAUGUCAAUUUAGAUACAUUCGCUUGCCAUUUUGGCACAGAAAGCGUGGAGUAGUGUACGUCGGAAAACCACGAUACAUCGAGCCUAUAUAUAUAAUGUAUGUAAAUACAUUGUUUAUUAACAAUACAUACAUUUUAAUUUAUAUCUGUACGUAAUGCGUUGGUGAAAUACCAAAUACGAAAUAUAUAAUUUUGAUCGAUU